rnacentral:rRNA from 1 species
AUUGAACGCUGGUGGCAUGCUUAACACAUGCAAGUCGGACGGUAACAGGCGAGUGCUUGCACUUGCGCUGACGAGUGGCGGACGGGUGAGUAAUGCAUAGGAAUCUUUCCUUUCGAGGGGGAUAGCUCUGGGAAACUAGAGGUAAUACCGCGUACAACCUACGGGUUAAAGGUGGCGCAAGCUGCCGCGAAAGGGUGAGCCUAUGUUAGAUUAGCUAGAUGGUGAGGUAAAAGCUCACCAUGGCUACGAUCUAUAGCUGUUCUGAGAGGAAGAUCAGCCACAUUGGGACUGAGACACGGCCCAG